CGUGCGCGAGCUGCCCGAGCUCUUCCUGGGCCAGAGCGAGUUCGACUGCUGCUCGGACUUGGGUUCGGCGCCGCCCGCCGGCUCGGUGAGCUGCUGAGGGCGGCCCCGCGGCCCCGCGUGCCCGAGGGGAGACGGGUCCGCCGCGGACGUGGCCUGGCUCCAGGCCCUGCCUCCUGCAGGACGACGGCGGAGCUCCACCUCCCUGACCCGGAGCCUCAGCGGUAAAGUGGAGGGGCCUGGACCCCCAUUUCGGACUCCCGGUUCUUGGAUUCUCUGCACCCCCCCACCCCGACUCCCCUCAUCUGAGCCAUCGCAGGCUGCUGCCUGCUACCCCUUCUCUCCUUGUGCAACCCGCUGCGGUCACUGGGUCCCUGGAGCCGCCCGUCCGCGGGGCCUCCACCUUGGGGAGGGGAACGUUGUACAGCCCUCGCCCCGUGCAGUGGAGCAAUAUGCCCCAUCUGGCCUCCGACACCAAAAUAAAACUGGGUCACUUUACAGUCUUGCGUUUUCAUUUCUUUACCACUCCAACAACCCUGCACUGUAUUUGGCUUCUAGGGUCCCCCUGGCCGUUGGGGACCCUGGGUGGGAUGGAAGCCACAGCCCCUGGCAGUGCCCAGGAGAGGAAACUGAGAGUUUCUUUCAAGCAAUAUUGCGAGUUGUGCAACUGUUACAUCAUAAUCUGGAAGGCAGAGGCUGCCAGGCGGUGGAGUAACCCAAAGGCUCCUCGGCUCCUGGGAGGGGUGGGAGGGCUCCGUGGUGCUGCCCUCACCUGUUUGCCCAGGGCGGCAGGGAGGCCAGAGGGGAGCUGCUGGGUGGAUCCGAGGAGUCACACACUUCUGGCUUUGAAUCGGGACUUUCCUUGGCCAGGACACCAUCCAUUCAGGUUUCAGAGGCUAUUUCCCCAGAGAGUUAUGGCAGGGUGGAAGGGGGUGUAGAAGGAGUCCAGCUGCUGAGCUAUUUCCAGCCCCCAAUCCUUCCCAGUGGGGCUCCUGACAAGUUGGACAGCAGACAGGUGGACCGAAUAGAAGGUAAGGCUGGGACAGUCCCAUCCCCCGGAUCCCACAAUCCCUGAUACACUUUGGAGGAUUCCUUGGAGGAUGGAGUGUCCUUGGCAGCGUGUACAGGCUUGUACGCUGACAGCCUCGGGUCCAGCUCCAGAGGCAGCUCUGACUAGCUGCUGACCUCAACUAGUCACCCUACCUGAUCACACCACCUUCCUGCGGAUGCAGGAUCACACCUCUUCCCUGGGGCUACUUCCUAAAGCAAACUGGUGCCCUCAGGCCUGUGGAUUUCACGCCCAUACAGGCCCUGGGUCUUUAGGGUUGAGAGGCAGGCUCCCCUCAAGGUUGGGAACUGAGUUGUGGUCCAGACAAAACAUCUUGCCAUCUUCUUUUCUUUCUUUUCAGAUGAAAAGUUCCCCGAGUCCAUUAUUUUGAAUCAUCUUUUCGAUGAUGUCUGGAUUUCAUCACAAAGUAGUGUUUUUUUUUAAGACUUUUCGAACUCAUGUACAAAAUGGAAAUGCUGAGCUUGUAAAUAAACCCUCGUGUGUUUGCA
rnacentral:lncRNA from 12 species